GACGAACGCUGGCGGCGUGCCUAACACAUGCAAGUCGAACGGAGCUUGCUUAAACGGAGACUUCGGUCAAAGUUUUCGUAAGCUUAGUGGCGGACGGGUGAGUAACGCGUGAGUAACCUGCCGUUCAGAGGGGGACAACAGUUGGAAACGACUGCUAAUACCGCAUAAUAUGUACGGAUCGCAUGGUCUGUACAUCAAAGAUUUAUUGCUGAGAGAUGGCCUCGCGUCUGAUUAGAUAGUUGGUGAGGUAAAGGCUCACCUAGGCGACGAUCUCUAGCUGGUCUGAGAGGAUGAUCAGCCACAUUGGGACUGAGACACGGCCCAGACUCCUACGGGAGGCAGCAGUGGGGAAUAUUGGGCAAUGGGCGCAAGCCUGACCCAGCAACGCCGCGUGAAGGAAGAAGGCC
rnacentral:rRNA from 1 species